rnacentral:rRNA from 1 species
GAUGAACGCUGGCGGCGUGCCUAAUACAUGCAAGUCGAGCGAACAGAUGAGGAGCUUGCUCCUCUGACGUUAGCGGCGGACGGGUGAGUAACACGUGGAUAACCUACCUAUAAGACUGGGAUAACUUCGGGAAACCGGAGCUAAUACCGGAUAAUAUAUUGAACCGCAUGGUUCAAUAGUGAAAGACGGUUUUGCUGUCACUUAUAGAUGGAUCCGCGCCGCAUUAGCUAGUUGGUAAGGUAACGGCUUACCAAGGCGACGAUGCGUAGCCGACCUGAGAGGGUGAUCGGCCACACGGGAACGUAGACACGGUCCAGACUCCUACGGGAGGCAGCAGUAGCGAAUCUUCCGCAAUAGGCGAAAGCCUGACGGAGCAACGCCGCGUGAGUGAUGAAGGUCUUCGGAUCGUAAAACUCUGUUAUUAGUGAAGAACAAAUUUGUAAGUAACUAUGCACGUCUUGACGGUACCUAAUCAGAAAGCCACGGCUAACUACGUG